rnacentral:rRNA from 1 species
AGGUAAUCCCUGCCCUAUGUCUUACAAAUGGCCGCAGUAUCCUAACUGUGCUAAGGUAGCAUAAUAAUUUGUCUUUUAAUUUAAGACUUGAAUGAAGGGGUAAACAUAAUAAUUACUAUAUCUUAUAAACCCAUAUAAACUUUACUUUUAGUGAAAAUACUAAAAUUUAAAUAAAGGACAAGAAGACCCUGUGGAGCUUUAAUUCUAUAAAUUUUAGUUGGGGCGACUUAGGAAAAUAAAAAACUUCCUACUUAUAAAAAACUUAUUAGUUAUUAUAUGAACCUACAGGAACAAAAACUAGCUACCCCAGGGUUAACAGGCUUAAAAUCUUUAAGAGCUCAUAUUGACAAGAUUUUUGGCACCUCGAUGUUGGCUUAGUAACUCUCUUUAUCGCAAAAGAUAAAAAAGAAGGUUUGUUCACCCUUUAAAAUACUACGUGAUCUGAGUCC